AAAUCCAUGGACGAGAGCCGGCUGGACCGGGUGAAGGAGUACGAGGAGGAGAUCCACUCGCUGAAGGAGCGGCUGCACAUGUCCAACCGCAAGCUGGAGGAGUACGAGCGGCGGCUGGUGACGCAGGAGGAGCAGACCAGCCGCAUCCUGCUGCAGUACCAGCAGCGCCUGGAGCUCAGCGAGAAACGGCUCCGGCAGCAGCAGCAGGAGAAGGACUCCCAGAUCAAGAGCAUCAUCGGCAGGUGAGGGACACACGGGGACAGCGGGGACAGCGGGGACACUGGGGACACUGGGGACAUUGGGGACAUCGGGGACACUGGGGACACACAGAGACAUUGGGGACAUUGGGGACAUCGGGGACAUUGGGGACAGCAGGGACAUUGGGGACACUGGGGACAGGGACACACCAGGGUCACAUGGGGACUCCCAGAUCAAGAGCAUCAUCGGCAGGUGAGGGACACGGGGACAGUGGGGACACUGAGGGGACAUUGGGGACAUCGGGGACAUUGGGGACACUGAGGGGACAUUGGGGACUUUGGGGGACACUGAGGGGACAGCGGGGACAUUGGGGGACACUGCGGACACUGGGGACAUUGGGGACAUUGGGGACACACAGGGACACGGAGACAGAGGGACACAGGGAAAGUGACACAGGACAGAGUGAAACAGGAACAGAGGACACAGAUGACACACACAGGUGACACACACAGGUGACACAGGUGACACACAGGUGACACACAGGUGACAGAGGUGACACACAGGUGACACAGGUGACACAGGUGACACACAGGUGACACACAGGUGACACACACAGGUGACACACACAGGUGACACAGGUGACACACAGGUGACACACACAGGUGACACACACAGGUGACACACAGGUGACACACACAGGUGACACAGGUGACACAGGUGACACACACAGGUGACACACACAGGUGACACACACAGGUGACACACAGGUGGCACACAGGUGACCGGGGCCAUGGGGACAUCGAGGCACACGGGGACACGGCCUGGCCCGCACGGUGUCCCCAGCAGUGUCCCCACCUCUUGGGGGGUGUCCCCAGGGUGUCCCCAGGUGUCCCCAGGGUGUCCCUGGGUGUCCCUGGGUGUCCCCGGGGAUGUCCCCAACGAUGUCCCCAUGUCCCUGGGUGUCCCCUGGGUGUCCCUGGGUGUCCCCGGGGAUGUCCCCAAUGAUGUCCCUGGGUGUCCCUGGUGUCCCGGGGGUGUCCCUGGUGUCCCCGAGGUGUCCCUGGGUGUCCCCAGGGUGUCCCCAAGGUGUCCCUGGGUGUCCCUGGGUGUCCCCGGGGAUGUCCCCAAGGUGUCCCCACAUCCCAAGGGUGUCCCUUGUGUCCCCGGGGAUGUCCCCAAGGUGUCCCUGGGUGUCCCCGGGGGUGUCCCUGGGUGUCCCUGGUGUCCCGGGGAUGUCCCCAAUGAUGUCCCUGGUGUCCCC
rnacentral:lncRNA from 1 species